UACGUAGGGUGCGAGCGUUGUCCGGAAUUAUUGGGCGUAAAGGGCUCGUAGGCGGUCUGUCGCGUCGGGAGUGAAAACUCAGGGCUUAACCCUGAGCCUGCUUCCGAUACGGGCAGACUAGAGGUAUGCAGGGGAGAACGGAAUUCCUGGUGUAGCGGUGGAAUGCGCAGAUAUCAGGAGGAACACCGGUGGCGAAGGCGGUUUCUG
rnacentral:rRNA from 1 species